GACGAACGCUGGCGGCGUGCUUAACACAUGCAAGUCGAACGGGAAGAGAUGAAGAGCUUGCUCUUUAUCGANAAUCCAGUGGGCCAAACGGGUGGAGUAACACGUAAACAACCUGCCUUCAGGAUGGGGACAACAGACGGAAACGGNACUGCUUUAAAUACCGNAAUACGUUCCACGGGCCGCAUGACCUGUGGAAGAAAGGGUAGCCUCUACCUGUAAGCUAUCGCCUGAAGAGGGGUUUGCGUCUGAUUAGGCAGUUGGUGGGGUAACGGCCCACCAAACCAACGAUUAGUAGCCGGUCUGAGAGGAUGAACGGCCACACUGGAACUGAGACACGGUCCAGACUCCUACGGGAGGCAGCAGUGGGGAAUCUUCCGCAAUGGACGAAAGUCUGACGGAGCAACGCCGCGUGAGUGAAGACGGCCUUCGGGUUGUAAAGCUCUGUGAU
rnacentral:rRNA from 1 species